GAUCCUGGCUCAGGAUGAACGCUAGCUACAGGCUUAACACAUGCAAGUCGAGGGGCAUCAGUUUGGUUUGCUUGCAAACCAAAGCUGGCGACCGGCGCACGGGUGAGUAACACGUAUCCAACCUACCUCAUACUCGGGGAUAGCCUUUCGAAGAAAGAUUAAUAUCCGAUAGCAUAUAUUUCCCGUCCAUGGGUUUUAGUUAUUAAAGUAAAAUUAACGGUUAGUUGAGAUGGGGAGGUGCGGUUCCUACUUAGUUUUAGUUUGGGGGGGUUAACGGGGG
rnacentral:rRNA from 1 species